CGGAUGGUAUUCAUUUUGAAACUAUACCGUGGUAAAUAUUUUGUUUUUCAUUCUAAUUAUUAGAAUUAAAGCUUUUAUCGAAGGAAAGAGACUUUAUG
rfam:Anaerofustis stercorihominis DSM 17244 Scfld_02_4 genomic scaffold, whole genome shotgun sequence.